GAUUGGCGAAUUCUUGUAUUGGGCCGAGCUGGAUUUGAACCAGCGUAGACAUAUUGCCAACGAAUUUACAGUCCGUCCCCAUUAACC
rnacentral:tRNA from 1 species